rnacentral:rRNA from 1 species
AGGUUUUCGGAUCGUAAAGCUCUGUUGUUAAGGAAGACGAGUGAGAGAAUGGAAAGUUCAUACUGUGACGGUACUUAACCAGAAAGGGACGGCUAACUACGUGCCAGCAGCCGCGGUAAUACGUUAGGUCCCGAGCGUUGUCCGGAUUUAUUGGGCGUAAAGCGAGCGCAGGCGGUUAGAAAAGUCUGAAGUGAAAGGCAGUGGCUCAACCAUUGUAGGCUUUGGAAACUGUUUAACUUGAGUGCAGAAGGGGAGAGUGGAAUUCCAUGUGUAGCGGUGAAAUGCGUAGAUAUAUGGAGGAACACCGGUGGCGAAAGCGGCUCUCUGGUCUGUAACUGACGCUGAGGCUCGAAAGCGUGGGGAGCGAACAGGAUUAGAUACCCUGGUAGUCCACGCCGUAAACGAUGAGUGCUAGGUGUUAGGUCCUUUCCGGGACUUAGUGCCGCAGCUAACGCAUUAAGCACUCCGCCUGGGGAGUACGACCGCAAGGUUGAAACUCAAAGGAAUUGACGGGGGCCCGCACAAGCGGUGGAGCAUGUGGUUUAAUUCGAAGCAACGCGAAGAACCUUACCAGGUCUUGACAUCCCGAUGCUAUUUCUAGAGAU